rnacentral:rRNA from 1 species
GAUGAACGCUAGCUACAGGCUUAACACAUGCAAGUCGAGGGGUAACGAGAGGAAAGCUUGCUUUCCUUGUCGACGACCGGCGCACGGGUGAGUAACGCGUAUCCAACCUGCCCCCAACUAGGGAAUAACCUUGCGAAAGUAAGACUAAUACCCUAUAAUUUCCUCAGAUGUCAUCUGACGAGGAAUAAAGAUUUAUCGGUUGUGGAUGGGGAUGCGUCUGAUUAGCUCGUUGGCGGGGUAACGGCCCACCAAGGCAACGAUCAGUAGGGGUUCUGAGAGGAAGGUCCCCCACAUGGGAACUGAGACACAGUCCAAACUCCUACGGGAGGCAGCAGUGAGGAAUAUUGGUCAAUGGGCGGAAGCCUGAACCAGCCAAGUAGCGUGCAGGAUGACGGCCCUAUGGGUUGUAAACUGCUUUUAUACAGGAAUAAAGUUAGCCACGUGUGGUUAUUUGUAGGUACUGUAUGAAUAAGGACCGGCUAAUUCCGUGCCAGCAGCCGCCGCGG